rnacentral:rRNA from 1 species
GGAAGUAAAAGUCGUAACAAGGUCUCCGUUGGUGAACCAGCGGAGGGAUCAUUACCGAGUUAUACAACUCCCAAACCCACUGUGAACCUUACCUCAGUUGCCUCGGCGGGAACGCCCCGGCCGCCUGCCCCCGCGCCGGCGCCGGACCCAGGCGCCCGCCGCAGGGACCCCAAACUCUCUUGCAUUACGCCCAGCGGGCGGAAUUUCUUCUCUGAGUUGCACAAGCAAAAACAAAUGAAUCAAAACUUUCAACAACGGAUCUCUUGGUUCUGGCAUCGAUGAAGAACGCAGCGAAAUGCGAUAAGUAAUGUGAAUUGCAGAAUUCAGUGAAUCAUCGAAUCUUUGAACGCACAUUGCGCCCGCCAGCAUUCUGGCGGGCAUGCCUGUUCGAGCGUCAUUUCAACCCUCGAGCCCCCCCCGGGGGCCUCGGUGUUGGGGGACGGCACACCAGCCGCCCCCGAAAUGCAGUGGCGACCCCGCCGCAGCCUCCCCUGCGUAGUAGCACACACCUCGCACCGGAGCGCGGAGGCGGUCACGCCGUAAAACGCCCAACUUUCUUAGAGUUGACCUCGGAUCAGGUAGGAAUACCCGCUGAACUUAAGCAUAUCAAUAAGCGGAGGAA